GACGAACGCUGGCGGCGUGCUUAACACAUGCAAGUCGAACGGAAAGGCCCUGCUUUUGUGGGGUGCUCGAGUGGCGAACGGGUGAGUAACACGUGAGUAACCUGCCCUUUACUUUGGUAUAACUUCAGGAAACUGGGGCUAAUACCGGAUAGGAGCUCCUGCUGCAUGGUGGGGGUUGGAAAGUUUCGGCGGUUGGGGAUGGACUCGCGGCUUAUCAGCUUGUUGGUGGGGUAGUGGCUUACCAAGGCUUUGACGGGUAGCGGGCCUGAGAGGGUGACCGGCCACAUUGGGACUGAGAUACGGACCAGACUCCUACGGGAGGCAGCAGUGGGGAAUAUUGCACAAUGGGCGGAAGCCUGAUGCAGCGCCGCCGCGUGCGGGAUGACGGCCUUCGGGUUGUAGACCGCUUUCGCCUGUGACGAAGCGUGAGUGACGGUAAUGGGUAAAGAAGCACCGGCUAACUACGUG
rnacentral:rRNA from 1 species